CUCUAGUGACCGAUAGUGAACCAGUACCGUGAGGGAAAGGUGAAAAGCACCCCGGAAGGGGAGUGAAAUAGAACCUGAAACCGUGUGCUUACAAGUAGUCAGAGCCCGUUAAUGGGUGAUGGCGUGCCUUUUGUAGAAUGAACCGGCGAGUUACGAUUUGAUGCAAGGUUAAGCAGUAAAUGUGGAGCCGUAGCGAAAGCGAGUCUGAAUAGGGCGUUUAGUAUUUGGUCGUAGACCCGAAACCAGGUGAUCUACCCUUGGUCAGGUUGAAGUUCAGGUAACACUGAAUGGAGGACCGAACCGACUUACGUUGAAAAGUGAGCGGAUGAACUGAGGGUAGCGGAGAAAUUCCAAUCGAACCUGGAGAUAGCUGGUUCUCUCCGAAAUAGCUUUAGGGCUAGCCUCAAGUGAUGAUUAUUGGAGGUAGAGCACUGUUUGGACGAGGGGCCCCUCUCGGGUUACCGAAUUCAGACAAACUCCGAAUGCCAAUUAAUUUAACUUGGGAGUCAGAACAUGGGUGAUAAGGUCCGUGUUCGAAAGGGAAACAGCCCAGACCACCAGCUAAGGUCCCAAAAUAUAUGUUAAGUGGAAAAGGAUGUGGCGUUGCCCAGACAACUAGGAUGUUGGCUUAGAAGCAGCCAUCAUUUAAAGAGUGCGUAAUAGCUCACUAGUCGAGUGACACUGCGCCGAAAAUGUACCGGGGCUAAACAUAUUACCGAAGCUGUGGAUUGUCCUUUGGACAAUGGUAGGAGAGCGUUCUAAGGGCGUUGAAGCAUGAUCGUAAGGACAUGUGGAGCGCUUAGAAGUGAGAAUGCCGGUGUGAGUAGCGAAAGACGGGUGAGAAUCCCGUCCACCGAUUGACUAAGGUUUCCAGAGGAAGGCUCGUCCGCUCUGGGUUAGUCGGGUCCUAAGCUGAGGCCGACAGGCGUAGGCGAUGGAUAACAGGUUGAUAUUCCUGUACCACCUAUAAUCGU
rnacentral:rRNA from 1 species